UGGAUGAGAAUAUAAUCACCAGUUGAGGAGCAGAGAAUCACAGAAAACAUGUACUGGUCUGGAUUAAACUGUCUUCAAAUGAUUUCUGAGGCUUUCUCACCUCUGUGUCCUGACCCAUCUGCUUGACUUAGAAUUUGGAAUGCUGCCAUACCAACCAUCAAAGACCCAGCAUGAACAGUCUGUCUCACCGUGAAAUUAUUUCCAGACUGUGGAAAUAUAUAUUUCAGUCUGGGAACUCUUUGAGAGAAGAACUGUCACAUUAAUCACGCAUCAACAAGCAGCCAGGACAGAAGGUGGCCGGAACCUGCUCUGUGUCUGCCUCACAGAGCCGCAGGCCAGAAGGAGGGCGCCCCUCACCGAGUUCCUGGCAUUUGAUGUCCCGUCUGGAAAGGAAGCGUAGCCAUCUGCCCUGGACUCUAUUGAAUAGAUAGAGCUCAUGGACCAUUUGCAACAGAAAUAAGCCCUCUAAUGCAGCCUCAGAAAUGAUCGCUCCAGGGUCAGAAUAAAGCCCCAUAGGAUGGCAGAGAAGAGAGGAUGAGAGAAGCAGGUCAGUGCCUGCUCCUCAGGACCCAAGACAGAACCAUGGCUGGCUGAAGCCGUGUUCAAGUUUCUCUCUGACACACCUCUGAUACUGGUGAGAACCGGAGAACCAGGUUCAAGGGGCCUCGUGGAAAACAGUGGCUCCAGUGCCUUUGAUUUACGGAUGAGGAAACCAAGGCUGGAAAUGAGAGAGUGACAGCAGGUGAGUCCCAGAGCCAGAUUCAGAGGACCCUGUCUCUCC